rnacentral:rRNA from 1 species
GAUGAACGCUGACAGAAUGCUUAACACAUGCAAGUCAACUUGAAUUUGGGUUUUUAACUUAGGUUUGGGUGGCGGACGGGUGAGUAACGCGUAAAGAACUUGCCUCACAGCUAGGGACAACAUUUGGAAACGAAUGCUAAUACCUAAUAUUAUGAUAAUAGGGCAUCCUAUAAUUAUGAAAGCUAUAAGCGCUGUGAGAGAGCUUUGCGUCCCAUUAGCUAGUUGGAGAGGUAACGGCUCACCAAGGCGAUGAUGGGUAGCCGGCCUGAGAGGGUGAUCGGCCACAAGGGGACUGAGACACGGCCCUUACUCCUACGGGAGGCAGCAGUGGGGAAUAAUGGACAAUGGACCGAGAGUCUGAUCCAGCAAUUCUGUGUGCACGAUGAAGUUUUUCGGAAUGUAAAGUGCUUUCAGUUGGGAAGAAACAAAUGACGGUACCAACAGAAGAAGUGACGGCUAAAUACGUG